rnacentral:rRNA from 1 species
AUGCACGCUGGCGGCGUGCCUAACACAUGCAAGUCGAACGGAGUCGUUUUGGAAAUCUCUUCGGAGAUGGAAUUCUCGACUUAGUGGCGGACGGGUGAGUAACGCGUGAGCAAUCUGCCUUUAAGAGGGGGAUAACAGUCGGAAACGGCUGCUAAUACCGCAUAAAGCAUUAAAUUCGCAUGUUUUUGAUGCCAAAGGAGCAAUCCGCUUUUAGAUGAGCUCGCGUCUGAUUAGCUAGUUGGCGGGGUAACGGCCCACCAAGGCGACGAUCAGUAGCCGGACUGAGAGGUUGAACGGCCACAUUGGGACUGAGACACGGCCCAGACUCCUACGGGAGGCAGCAGUGGGGAAUAUUGCGCAAUGGGGGAAACCCUGACGCAGCAACGCCGCGUGAUUGAAGAAGGCCUUCGGGUUGUAAAGAUCUUUAAUCAGGGACGAAACAAAUGACGGUACCUGAAGAAUAAGCUCCGGCUAACUACGUG